rnacentral:rRNA from 1 species
AUGGCGCUCUUCCUCGGCCUGCUCCGCCGCACCCACCUGCUCUCGCGCCACGUCUCCUCCUCCCCCGCCGCCGUCGCCGCCGGCUGCCUCGGCGCCGUCCAGCCGCUCUGCCGCGGGAUGCGCCGCUGCCGCGGCCUCGUGCUCGGCAUCGUCGGCCGCUCCGCCGCCGCGCGCUGCCUCGCCACCCGCAGCCUCGCAUUCCGGAUGAGCGUCCUCUACUUCGACCCCCGCUAUCUGGCUGAAGGGAAAAUGCGGCGGCCUUCCAUUGUAUUUCCUGCUGCUGCUAGGAGAAUGGAUACUCUCAAUGAUCUAUUGGCAGCAAGUGAUCUUGUUUCACUGCAUUGUACAUUAACAAAUGACACAAUGCAUAUACUUAAUGGGGACUGCCUGCAACACAUUAAGCCUGGAGCAUUCAUUGUCAACACUGGUAGUUGCCAACUUAUAGAUGACUGUGCGCUCAAACAGCUCUUGCUUGAUGGUACCAUAGCUGGUUGUGCAUUGGAUGGUGUUGAAGGUCCACAAUGGAUGGAAGCAUGGGUGCGGGAAAUGCCAAAUGUUCUAAUUCUUCCUAGAAGUGCAGACUACAGUGAAGAAGUGUGGAUGGAAAUAAGAGAGAAAGCAAUCACGAUACUACAGUCCUUUUUCUAUGAUGGUGUUGUUCCAAGUAGUUCAAUUUCUGAUGAAGAUGAGGAAAUUAGUGAAGCUGGAAAUGAAGAUGAUCAAGACAGAGGAACAAAAGAUAACCAUUCACAAGUUUUUGAUGGCGAACAUCAGACUGAUGAAAGCCAUUUAACUCUCAACUAUGAAAAGAAAAGAGCCACAUCCCAGUAUAAAGAAUCUCAAGCUCCAGGGCAAUCAUCACAAAAUAGUGGCUCACGAACAGAAGGAAGGCGUAGUCGCUCUGGAAAGAAAGGGAAAAAAAGACCUGCUCACCGCAGAUCUCAGAAAACAGACGACUUGUCUGCUGUAGAGAGUGACAGUAAUUAUUCCUUCCGCAGAGAUGAUGAUAAUGCAACGAGUGGCAGAGACCAGGUGGUAAGUUCAAGUUCACGGUUUGCUUCCCCUGAGGACUCAAAGUACAAGCAGAAAUCUCCUGUUGAAUCGCCAAUGGAAAUAACUUCGGAGAAGAAGUUACCUGUCGUGCUUGGUAGAAAAUGCCCUGAUACACUAAAAGAUGGUUAUGUUGUAGCUUUGAGAGCAAAAGAUAAUUCAGGGUUCCAUGUUGCAAGACAAAGACUUGCUGGUGGUGGUGGUUGGAUCCUUGAUGUUGUGUCAAAUGCUACGAACAGGGACCCUGCUGCUCAGUUCCUUGUCACUUUCAAAAACAAGGAUCUGAUGGGAUUGCGAUCCUUUGUUGCUGGUGGCAAACUGUUACAGAUCAAUAGGAAGAUGGAGUUUGUGUUUGCGAGCCAUAGUUUCGAUGUCUGGGAGGGCUGGGUGCUGGAAGUGGAAGGCUCCUUGCUGGAGGGGUGCAAGCUUAUCAACUGCCGAAAUUCCUCGGCUGUAUUGGACGUGUCCAUUGAGGUACUCGCAGCUGCGAGUGAAGAAGAUGGAGUCACCCGGUGGCUAGAUUAG